rnacentral:rRNA from 1 species
UACAGAGGGUGCGAGCGUUAAUCGGAAUUACUGGGCGUAAAGCGCGCGUAGGCGGCUUGUUAAGUCGGAUGUGAAAUCCCUGGGCUCAACCUAGGCAUUGCAUUCGAUACUGGCAAGCUAGAGUAUGGUAGAGGGUAGUGGAAUUCCCGGUGUAGCAGUGAAAUGCGUAGAGAUCGGGAGGAACACCAGUGGCGAAGGCGGCUACCUGGACCAGCACUGACACUGAAGCACGAAAGCGUGGGGAGCAAACAGG